GGGUCUCGACUGCUGUUCCCCUCUUCCCUACACGAUCCGCAACCCACGCCCUGGACCAGCCGCCCAGAUCAUGCCGCCGCAGCUGGUUGGGGGCACCAUCUGGACGGGGAUGGUUCCCCAGGAGGAGACCCUCCCCUGCCUCCGAGGCCUACCUGCUCCCCUCAAAAGCUUCGUGCCAACAGAGAGGUUCCUGUUUGAACCCAGGAGAGUGGAAGAGAGAUUGGGACUGAGUGCUGAGGUUGGGAAGGCACCUGCUCCCACAGAAGGGGGAACGCAAGGGGCAUCCCAAGACCUCAUCUGCCUGCAGUGUCAAAUCGAUGGCCUGGCCUUGGCUUCUGAUUAUUUGCAGCUGCGAUGGAUGUUUACAGGAACCCAGCCAGAGUUUGCCUCCCUGCACUUCAUCCCGGAGCGCACCUGCUUCCCCCACUUCACCUUCGGAGAGGACACUUCAAACUGCGGACACACGCAAAAGCGACUCCCAGCUCCGUUUGAUGUUACUCGUUCUUCAGCAAGUUGGCAAAACAGACAUCAUGCUGGUGAGUGCCACGUUACUCCCCUGGCUGGAAAUGCUUUUCUGAAAGUAUGAGUGUUGUGCCUACUUAAUUCUGAUAAACCUGUCUAAGCAA
rnacentral:sRNA from 1 species